rnacentral:rRNA from 1 species
GACGAACGCUGGCGGCGUGCUUAACACAUGCAAGUCGAACGGAAAGGCCCUGCUUUCUUGGUGUGCUCGGGUGGCGAACGGGGGAGUAACACGUGAGUAACCGGCCCUUGACUUUGGGAUAACUUCAGGAAACUGGAGCUAAGACCGGAUCGGAUCUCCUCCUGCAUGGUAGGGGUUGGAAAGUUUCAGCGGGUGCGGAUGGAUUCGCGGCUUAUCAGCUUGUUAGUGGGGUAGUGGCUUACCAAGGCUUUGACGGGUCGCCGGCAUGAGAGGGUGACCGGCCUCCUUGGUACUGAGAUACGGCGCAGACUCCUACGGUAGGCAGUAGGCGGGAAUAUUGCACAAUGGGAGGAAGCCUGAUGCAGAGACGCUGCGUGCGGGAUGACGGCCUUCGGGUUGUAAACAGCUUUAGCCUGUGACGAAGCGUGAGUGACGGUAAUGGGUAAAGAAGCACCGGCUAACUACGUG